GGAGAGUUGUCCGAGCUGGCCGAAGGAGCAGCAUUGGAAAUGCUGUAUACGGGUUAGAGCCUGUAUCAAGGGUUCGAAUCCCUUACUCUCCG
rnacentral:tRNA from 1 species